AAAUUAGUCCCCAACCUCAAAAAUUGGCGGUAAUAGUCUCUAAGAUCACCAUUUUUGUUAGUCUGUUAGUACCUAAAUUAAAUAGUCUGUUAAUUGCUAUAACAAUUACCACGUGUCAAAGCAUUAUUGGUAUACUUAAUAAAUAUUAUUAAAAAUUUAAAUAAUUAGAAAUUAUAUAAAAAAAAUAAAAACUAUAAAAUUUAUUUAUUUUCUUUUUCUUUUAUUAAAAUUAAAAAAAAAACCAUUAUCUAAGAAAAUAAAACAAAAUCCUAUAAUUUAUCCCCAAAUCCCACCCACCUCGAUUCUUUUCUUCUUGUUCUUCAAAGAAUUUAUCAAUGUUACAGUAAAAAAAAACUGAUAUUCAGAUCUAAAUCAUCACCCACAAAUCUCUCACAAACUCACCAUCAUGAUGAUGGCAUCAAAACCAUUGCUCCGAUGGACUGUAAUGGUUAAAAGAGGUUGGUUGUCGAUGACUGAAACCAACUCCAAAUCCAACAAUGGGUCCCUUCGAUUUCGCAAGGUGGUUAGGCUCUGCUCAUCGACUACAAAAACCAACCCAGAACCGGUUCAUUGGUCUUCAAAUCUCGACCUCCGGCGAAAAGCUCUGGAACGAUAUCGGCGUGGUCCCGAUCUCAAAUCUGAGCAUGGUGUGGGUGAGGAUAUUUUUUGUUCUUGUUGUGGAAAAAUUGUAGGAGAAGAAAUAAAAUGGGGGUGAGGCUUGGCAUGGGGACGAUGUUGUGAUCUUGGGGUAGUCUAGCUCGAACAGAUCUGAGAAAAGUGGAGCUCGAAGUGUGGUGAUGAUGGUUGAGCUGGGUUGAAGAGAAAUGAAGAAGAUGAACAAGAAAAGAGGUUGGCUAGGUUCAUGAAGAAGAAGACGAAGGGGAUAGAGAAAAGGAAGGGUCGGCUAUGGAGGUUUUUGGGGACGACGGUUGGAGCUUCAGACCAUGCCUAUGGAGGUUUUGGCAGAAUGAAGAAGACGAAGGGGAAAGAGAAAAGUAAUGGUCGAUUUUGUGAAAAAAUAAAAA